UGGUGGAGUGAUUUGUCUGGUUAAUUCCGUUAACGAACGAGACCUCAGCCUGCUAACUAGUCACCCGAACAUCCGUGUUCGGGGCCGACUUCUUAGAGGGACUAUCGGCGCUUAGCCGGCUGGAAGCUUGAGGCAAUAACA
rnacentral:rRNA from 1 species